rnacentral:lncRNA from 1 species
GUCUGGACUUCAUGGACUUCUUGAUUAAAUAAUUUAGAUUUUAUACAAUUUUAGCUUGUUACCAAAAGAAUGGAAAGUACAGUAUUAAAACCACUGGUGAACAUGUACUGUACAUGUAGGUGUGAAUGUCCUGCAAAAAGAACUGAUAUCAAAGUAUGUUCAUCUGCAGAAUUGCAGUAAAAAUAUAAAUAAUUUGAUGCACUCUGUUCUCAAGUAUAAUUGUACAUGUACACUUGCUUAUUUUUCUCUCUUUCCAAUGUCAAGUAUGCUUCAAGGCAUCCUUACCCUGAUCCCCUCCUGCUCCAUACACACACACUCAGAAGUUCAAAUAAUCAGCAUUUAUAUUAUAUUACAAACCUACCUAGUCAGACUGGCCUAUACAAUGUAUAUUAUGAAUUGACAAGUUGUUCUUGUUUUGAAUACAUAAAAUAUUUGCCACUGGACAUAGUUUCCGUACAAUAACUUUAGUUUAAGUAAAUGGAUAUCUAUCUCUAUGAAAUUUAAAUACAAGGUUUGAACCCACACAAGGAAGAUUGGGAUUGAUUUUGGGGUUAUGGUCCCAACAGUUUAGGAACAAGGAGCCCAAAAGGGGUCAAAAUAAGUAUUUUCCUAGGUUCCAGACAAUUACUUGUGUAUAAGUGUAUGGAUCUUUCUGAAAUUGUACCACAAGGACUUGAAGGUUCCAUACCAAAAAAAAAAGGUUGGGAUUGAUUUUUUGGGGGUUAUCAAUGGUUAUGGCACAAACUGUUUAUGAAUUAGGGGCCAAAAACAAUACUUCUCUAAUACUUUGUAUAAGUUGCUUAUUUCUAGACCAAUUUCAAUGGGGUUUUAUUCUUGAAUUCUUGGGGUUCUUUAAUAUGCUGAAUCAAACCCUGUAUUAAGUUUUUUUUAAUUUGGUCCCCGUUUUUAUACGACCGCAAAAUGUUUGCGUUCUUAUAUUGGUAUCACGUUGUCGGCUAUAUAAAAUGUACAAUAUACAAUGCAAUAUUCACUUAACUACCAACUGAUAAAUUAAAGCAAUCUUCACCAUUCAGUGAUUACAAGCACUCUGAUUACCAUUCUAGGGUUAUGCCCCUUUACAAGUGGAAAAAUUGAAGAAUUUUUUAGUUUCUGUUCUCUUAACUUUAAGUUUGUCUCAACUAAAUUUAAUGAAAUGUGUAUAUAAUGCUUAUUACCUCUAAACUCAGUUUAAGUUCAAUUUUUGGCAUCUUCACUUUUACAGUUCUUGAGUUAUGUCCCUUUAUAACGUUAUAUGCUAGCGGGGGCAUCAUCUGUGUCCUUUUGGACACAUUCCCCAUUUAUUUUUUUAGAAGUUACUAUUAAUUCUAACCAUGACUGUAUGACAUUUUAUAUUUUAAUAUUUUAUGAUGUAUUUAAAUGAGUAGUUAUUGUUGCAAACUCCAUUAGAAUUUUGAAUUGAGAUCAUUUUUGGAAUAAGAGAAAGGGGGACGUGGAAAUAAAAUUGGGGUGGGGGUCAAUUUUUUUUUCUCAUUUUAGAUUUCAGAAUUUAAAAAGAAAAUUUCUUCAAAUAUUUUUUUUUUGAGAGGAUUAAUAUUCAACAGCAUAGUAAAUUGCUCAAAAGCAAAAAAAAAAAAAAUUAAGUUCAUUAGACCACAUUUAUUCUGUGUCAGAAACCUAUGAUGUGUCAACUAUUUAAUCACAAUCCAAAUUCAGAGCUGUAUUCAGCUUGAAUGUUGUGUCCAUACUUGCCUCAACCUUCAGGGUUCGACCUCUGCAGUCGUAUAAAGCUGCACCCUGCGGAGUAUCUGGUUAAAUUGGUCACAUGCCAUACAUAUUAUAUACACAGGUAAUGUGUAGUACACAUGCAUGAAUAGAGUUAGUUUUCAUUAUUUAAAAAAAAAAGGAAAAUAUGUAGUAUCAUUGCCAAUGAGACAACUAUUCAUCAGGUCAAAAUGACUGAAUGUUAGCAACUAAAGAUCACUUUACAUGUAUGUACAACUUUCAACAAUGAGCAAAACCAGUACAGCAUCAAGCAAGCUAUGUCCUGGAAUGACAGAUGUAAAACAAUUCCAAAGAGAAAAUUAAGGGCCUGAUUUACAUAAAAGCGAAAAAAACAACCAUGAUAAAUACAUGUUAGCAAAAACAACAACUAUUAUUUCUCCACUCCAGUUGUUCACACGAUAUUUAUGUAUAUAUAUAUAUGUAAGUUUGGUAAAUCAUUACUUAUCAAAUUUAUGUUAUCAUUUUUGCUUGAUUGGUAAGCCAAUAUUUUAUGGUUGGUUAUUUUUUUUUUUUUAAUUACAGCAACUGUAUUCCAAGAGUCUGAUGGCUGAUAAUGUAUUACAGGAUUUUAUCAUUCAAGCAACAUCUUAGAAGGAUAAGUGCAAAUGUAUGAAGGAAGCCGUGGGUACAAAUAGCAAUUACAGCAGAUACAUGCAGGAGAGAACUCUUAAACAAAGACAUGAUAUGGGAGUGAUGUAUUCAAGAAAUCUCAAACACAUGGAAUUAAAUAUUGUGUAUAUUUUUUCAAACACAAGUACUUUCAGAAUAUAAUACAAUCAUGACAAUUCAAAUUCAAAUUAUUGUUUAUAGUCUAAAAAUGAAUAAUGCAUGUUUUAAACUGAAUUUUAUAUAAAUAUUUGAAAGAACAAGA